GGAAUCUUCCGCAAUGGGCGAAAGCCUGACGGAGCAACGCCGCGUGAGUGAUGAAGGUCUUCGGAUCGUAAAACUCUGUUAUUAGGGAAGAACAAAUGUGUAAGUAACUAUGCACGUCUUGACGGUACCUAAUCAGAAAGCCACGGCUAACUACGUGCCAGCAGCCGCGGUAAUACGUAGGUGGCAAGCGUUAUCCGGAAUUAUUGGGCGUAAAGCGCGCGUAGGCGGUUUUUUAAGUCUGAUGUGAAAGCCCACGGCUCAACCGUAGAGGGUCAUUGGAAACUGGAAAACUUGAGUGCAGAAGAGGAAAGUGGAAUUCCAUGUGUAGCGGUGAAAUGCGCAGAGAUAUGGAGGAACACCAGUGGCGAAGGCGACUUUCUGGUCUGUAACUGACGCUGAUGUGCGAAAGCGUGGGGAUCAAACAGGA
rnacentral:misc_RNA from 1 species